rnacentral:rRNA from 1 species
GAUGAACGCUGGCGGCGUGCCUAAUACAUGCAAGUCGAGCGAACAGACGAGGAGCUUGCUCCUCUGAUGUUAGCGGCGGACGGGUGAGUAACACGUGGAUAACCUACCUAUAAGACUGGGAUAACUUCGGGAAACCGGAGCUAAUACCGGAUAACAUGUUGAACCGCAUGGUUCAACAGUGAAAGACGAUCUUGCUGUCACUUAUAGAUGGAUCCGCGCCGCAUUAGCUAGUUGGUAAGGUAACGGCUUACCAAGGCAACGAUGCGUAGCCGACCUGAGAGGGUGAUCGGCCACACUGGAACUGAGACACGGUCCAGACUCCGACGGGAGGCAGCAGUAGGGAAUCUGCCGCAAUGGGCGAAAGCCUGACGGAGCAACGCCGCGUGAGUGAAGAAGGUCUUCGGAUCGUAAAACUCUGUUAUUAGGGAAGAACAAAUGUGUAAGUAACUAUGCACGUCUUGACGGUACCUAAGCAGAAAGCCACGGCUAACUACGG